GAGUUUGAUCGUGGCUCAGAUUGAACGCUGGCGGCAUGCCUUACACAUGCAAGUCGAACGGCAGCAUGAUCUAGCUUGCUAGAUUGAUGGCGAGUGGCGAACGGGUGAGUAAUACAUCGGAACGUGCCCUGUAGUGGGGAGUAACUAGUCGAAGAAUUAGUCUAAUAACCGCCAUACGACCUCGAGGGUGGAAAGUAGGGGGACCGGGCCAAGGACCGUCCAUGCUAUAGGAGGCGGCCGGACUGUCU
rnacentral:rRNA from 1 species